rnacentral:sRNA from 12 species
CCUUUGGAGCGUUAUACCAAACGAGAGUAGUUUUGUGAACGAGCGUAAGUGAGUGAACAGCAAAAUCGGACGCGAUGAAUUAGGAA